AUGUCGACCGAUAGGGAGAAGGAGCGGGAGGCGGAGCUGGAGGGCGCCAUGUAUACCAACUGCCUCCUCCUCGGCCUCGAUCCAGUCGUCCUCGGCUCCCCCGCCGGCGCGGCCUCUCCUCGCGUCGGCCUCUUCCGGCACUCCAACCCUCGCCUCGGCGAACAGCUCCUCUACUUCCUCCUAUCCUCACUCCGCGGCCCCGCGCAGUCCGCCAAGGACUUCGACAAAGUGUGGCCGAUCUUUGAUUCCGCGCAGUCCAGGGAGUUCCGCAAGAUCGUACAAUGUAUCAUCAGCGAGCUGGAGCAGCAGGGAGCGCUGCCACGGAGCAACUCCAGGGUUUCGUCUCUCGCCACCUGCUGCGGGCCUAGAUUUGUUGAGCUUUUGUGGCAACUCUCUGUACAUGCCUUGAGGGAAGUCCAUAGGAGAACAUUUGCGGCUGAUGUAGCAUCAAAUCCACUGCCGGCAGCACUCACAGACGUUUCUUAUCUUCAUGCAGCUGCAUUACUUCCUGUAACAAAGGCAAGGAUUGCUCUUGAGAGGCGUAAAUUUCUUAAAAAUGCAAACAUUGCUGUUCAAAGGCAGACAACCUGGUCAAAUUUAGCCCAUGAAAUGACAGCUGAAUUCCGAAGUCUAUGUGCUGAAGAGGCAUAUCUGCAACAGGAGUUAGAGAAGCUACAAGAUAUGAGGAACAAAGCCAAGCUAGAGGGGGAACUGUGGGACGAACGUAUCUCAAGCUCAUCUGGACAGAAUUCACAUUUGGUAUCUAAGGCAACACGUUUGUGGGAAUCGAUAUUGGCUCGCAAAGGUCAGCAUGAGGUUUUAGCUUCCGGGCCAAUUGAAGAUCUUAUAGCACACCGUGAGCAUAGGUACCGUAUAUCUGGAUCACAAUUGCUAGCAGCAAUGGAUACAAGUUCAAGCAUCCCGCAUUCUGAAUUACUAUCAGCUCGAGCUGGUGAAACGUCUCAAAUUUUGGAUAAACAGGAGCAGAUAUCUUUAUUCCAGGGAAAGGAAGAAGCUCUUCCAAUAUUAGAUGAUAGGAAUGGGCGUGUCCAACAAACUGUUGACGUAGCUGAAAUUCUUCGACGUUGGACUCAUGCUUUGCAGCGUAUUCAUAAACAAUCUCUUCAUUUGGCCAAAGCAAAUGAUGGGGAGGGGCCAGAAUUACUCCGCAGUGCGUCUGACAGCGAAACUAGUAGCCAUGCCGACUCAUUAACUGCAACAUUGGCCGAACAUCGCCAGCAUUUAGUCAGUAUACAGGGCCUAAUUAAUCAACUCAAGGAAGCUAUUCCAGCAAUGCAGCAGUCAAUAACAAAACUUUCUGAAGAAGUUAAUAGUGUACCUAGUAAUCUGAUGGAUCAAACAAACUCCAGACAGUUGUCUGUCCAAAAUACAGUGCUUGGAAGACCAGAACAGGAAAGCAGCGGCGAAGUUUCAGAGGUGACUUCUAAGCUCUGUUCAGCACAGAUCGGCAAGGCUGGGAGUAGUCCUGCUCUAAAGCUACCUCCUCUAUUUAGUCUGACUCCAAGUUCUUCUGGAAAAGGAGCACAGACACAAAGACGGAAUGGCUUAGCACACCAACCUAGGCAAGAAAUUAUGCCUGAAGAGAAAGCACUUACCCACCCCUCAGCCAAAGAUCAAGCAAAUGGUUCGAUGCAUGAAAAUGAUGGUUAUUUUGCUCAUGACAUCAGACGUUCUGUUCGUGAAGCUGCUCUAUCAAAGCCAUUGAGCAACAUGGAGAGUCCACAGGACAAGAGUAGUGAUGAUGGUUCAGAGCACUUCUUCAUUCCCCUAUCAACAGGUGCUGCAAGGAAGGAUGUGGGUGCUGUGGCAAACCGAAGAAAACAAAAGAUAGGUCCAUCGUCGUCACAGUCGAAGUUACCCAAGAGCACAAGCGAUCUUUACUUCAAUCCUGACAGCCCAAUGCAUACAACCCCAGCUGUGUCAAGUAAACUGAAUGGCCAUGACGAUCCAAGCAGUGCUGCAAACUUUUUUUAUCCAGUCAGUGGUCAGUCGUUUAUGACAGAUGAUGCUCUUGAUCAAGUAUUCUCCCCGCCACUUCUGCUGGAGUCUUCCUUGUUCCCCGACGCGUACGAGGACUUGCUUGCACCAUUAUCAGAAACUGAUGCAGCUUUGAUGGAACAUUAG
rnacentral:rRNA from 1 species